rnacentral:rRNA from 1 species
UCCGUAGGGUGAACCUGCGGAGGGAUCAUUACACAAUAUGAAAGCGGGCUGGCAUCCUUCGGGGUUACAGCCUUGCUGAAUUAUUCACCCGUGUCUUUUGCGUACUUCUUGUUUCCUUGGUGGGUUCGCCCACCAUAGGACAAACCAUAAACCUUUUGUAAUUGCAAUCAGCGUCAGUAAAAAAAUUAAUAAUUACAACUUUUAACAACGGAUCUCUUGGUUCUGGCAUCGAUGAAGAACGCAGCGAAAUGCGAUAAGUAGUGUGAAUUGCAGAAUUCAGUGAAUCAUCGAAUCUUUGAACGCACAUUGCGCCCUUUGGUAUUCCAAAGGGCAUGCCUGUUCGAGCGUCAUUUGUACCCUCAAGCUUUGCUUGGUGUUGGGCGUCUUGUCUCCAGUUCGCUGGAGACUCGCCUUAAAGUAAUUGGCAGCCGGCCUACUGGUUUCGGAGCGCAGCACAAGUCGCGCUCUCUUCCAGCCAAGGUCAGCAUCCACAAAGCCUUUUUUCAACUUUURACCUCGGAUCAGGUAGGGAUACCCGCUGAACUUAAG